rnacentral:piRNA from 2 species
GCUUCUCUGGACAGUGCCCUCCC